rnacentral:rRNA from 1 species
GACGAACGCUGGCGGCGUGCUUAACACAUGCAAGUCGAACGAAGUGGCGAACGGGUGAGUAACGCGUAAUCAACCUGCCCUUCAGAGGGGGACAACAGUUGGAAACGACUGCUAAUACCGCAUACUGAAGGAGGGGAUUGCGUGUGGUUCGGUAGGUUGAGGGGUAACGGCCCACCAAGGCGAGGAUCAGUAGCCGGUUUUGGGGGGUGAACGGCCAAAUUUGGAACGGGGCAACGCCCAGGCUCCUACGGGAGGCAGGCGUGGGGAAUCAUCCGCAAUGGGCGAAAGGCUGACGGAACACCGCCGCGUGAGUUGUGACGGCCUUCGGGUUUGAAAGCUAUGUUAAUCGGGACGCGGUACCGGAAUAGAAAGCCACGGCUAACUACGUGCCAGCAGCCGCGGUAAUAC